GUUUGUAACUUGUCCGAAUCAAGACUGGACCUCUACAGUUGCCAUAGCCAAACGUCACUUUGGAGCGAAAGAUUUCAAACGGCUCCUUUGAGGAAGACUUGAGGGCCGAAAUGUUGUCGUUUCUCUCAUAACAGUGUACAAUUUAGCCAGCUGUUUUUAAAUAGAGCGUUUUGUGGACUGUUCACAGUCCCUGGUCUAAAGAUGAAAGGCUUGGAAAUGUCCGCUAUGAUACCUGCACUGCAGGAGCUCGCGAGUGAGACUCGAGACUGCGCUGUCUAUACGGUGGACAUUGUUAUUGUUUUGCUGCUGUAGGUAACGUUAACUUAGCUAACAUGCUAGCUUAUGCUGGCUAACUUAGUACAGUUUUCCAACUGCUCCUCACAUUGUUUAGUAAAAUAAUUGAACAGUAUGACUUGAUAAACGUCACUAAUGCUAACUAGCUCGGUAGCUUGUUAAUAGUACACUAAGUUCGCUACUGUAGCUAACUAAUUAACUACAUUGCUGUAACAACUUGUUGUCAAUGCAGUAGGUUUAAAUAAUGCAAAAACAAAGUGUUGGAGAAGAAAGUAAAAGUGCAAUAUGUGCCAUGUAAGAAAGCUAACGUUUCAGUUCCUUGCUCAGAACAUGAGAACAUAUGAAAGCUGGUGGUUCCUUUCAACGUGAGUCUUCAAUAUUCCCAGGUAAAAAGUUUUAGGUUGUAGUUAUUAUAGGAAUUAUAGGACUAUUUCUCUCUGUACAAUUUGUAUUUUAUAUACCUUCGACUGUUGGAUGUUCUUAUAGGCACUUUAGUAUUGCCAGUGUAACAGUAUAGCUUCCAUCCCUCUCCUCUCUCCUCCCUUACCCAUGCAGAGCAAGGGGAACAACCACCCCGUUAACUAGCUAGCCAUUUCACAUCGGUUACACCAGCCUAAUCUCGGGAGUUGAUAGGCUUGAAGUUAUAAUCUCUCUGUAUUCCAGGUGGAUGGUGACAGUACUCUCAGUAUGGGGUCCAUUUCUCUCUCUGUAUUCCAGGUGGAUGGUAACAGUAGUAGUCUCAGUAUGGGGUCCAUUUCUCUCUCUCUGUAUUCCAGGUGGAUGGUAACAGUAGUACUCUCAGUAUGGGGUCCAUUUCUCUCUCUGUAUUCCAGGUGGAUGGUAACAGUAGUAGUCUCAGUAUGGGGUCCAUUUCUCUCUCUGUAUUCCAGGUGGAUGGUAACAGUAGUAGUCUCAGUAUGGGGUCCAUUUCUCUCUCUCUGUAUUCCAGGUGGAUGGUAACAGUAGUACUCUCAGUAUGGGGUCCAUUUCUCUCUCUCUGUAUUCCAGGUGGAUGGUAACAGUAGUACUCUCAGUAUGGGGUCCAUUUCUCUCUCUCUGUAUUCCAGGUGGAUGGUAACAGUAGUACUCUCAGUAUGGGGUCCAUUUCUCUCUCUCUGUAUUCCAGGUGGAUGGUAACAGUACUCUCAGUAUGGGGUCCAUUUCUCUCUCUCUGUAUUCCAGGUGGAUGGUAACAGUAGUACUCUCAGUAUGGGGUCCAUUUCUCUCUCUGUAUUCCAGGUGGAUGGUAACAGUAGUACUCUCAGUAUGGGGUCUAUUUCUCUCUCUCUGUAUUCCAGGUGGAUGGUAACAGUAGUACUCUCAGUAUGGGGUCCAUUUCUCUCUCUCUGUAUUCCAGGUGGAUGGUAACAGUAGUACUCUCAGUAUGGGGUCCAUUUCUCUCUCUCUGUAUUCCAGGUGGAUGGUAACAGUAGUACUCUCAGUAUGGGGUCCAUUUCUCUCUCUCUGUAUUCCAGGUGGAUGGUAACAGUAGUACUCUCAGUAUGGGGUCCAUUUCUCUCUCUCUGUAUUCCAGGUGGAUGGUAACAGUACUCUCAGUAUGGGGUCCAUUUCUCUCUCUCUGUAUUCCAGGUGGAUGGUAACAGUAGUACUCUCAGUAUGGGGUCCAUUUCUCUCUCUGUAUUCCAGGUGGAUGGUAACAGUAGUACUCUCAGUAUGGGGUCUAUUUCUCUCUCUCUGUAUUCCAGGUGGAUGGUAACAGUAGUACUCUCAGUAUGGGGUCCAUUUCUCUCUCUCUGUAUUCCAGGUGGAUGGUAACAGUAGUAGUCUCAGUAUGGGGUCCAUUUCUCUCUCUCUGUAUUCCAGGUGGAUGGUAACAGUACUCUCAGUAUGGGGUCCAUUUCUCUCUCUCUGUAUUCCAGGUGGAUGGUAACAGUAGUACUCUCAGUAUGGGGUCCAUUUCUCUCUCUCUGUAUUCCAGGUGGAUGGUAACAGUACUCUCAGUAUGGGGUCCAUUUCUCUCUCUCUGUAUCCCAGGUGGAUGGUAACAGUAGUCUCAGUAUGGGGUCCAUGUCUCUCUCUCUGUAUUCCAGGUGGAUGGUAACAGUAGUCUCAGUAUGGGGUCCAUUUCUCUCUCUCUGUAUUCCAGGUGGAUGGUAACAGUAGUACUCUCAGUAUGGGGUCCAUUUCUCUCUCUGUAUUCCAGGUGGAUGGUAACAGUACUCUCAGUAUGGGGUCCAUUUCAAGCAGUUGAAGCGUCUGGUGGAGGAGCUAUCGUUCAGCCAGAUCCUGAUCCCUCUGCAGUCUGUCCUCAUCCCCACACUGCCCUCUACUGGCCCUGCAAACACACUGCACCUCAACGCAUUCCCGGACACUGGGCCUACCUCCAUGGCUUUGACGAUACUGUGUGUGUGGGGGGGAGAGGUGGAGAUCCUAGCCUCCCUCCAGGAGCCCAAGAAAAUCGGCCUGAAGGGACGUGAUGGGAGGAGCUACACUGUGAUGUGUAAACCUAAAGAUGACCUCCGGAAAGACUGUCGCCUCAUAGAAUUCAACUGCCUCAUCAACAAGCCUGUC